AGAUGUGAAGGCAAUCUAGUUGCAACAUCUGUCACCCCACUGAUCGCCAGGGUUGAUUCAGCUGAUCUAGCUGGCUAGGCAGUAUCCCCUUCCUCCCUCAUGGCUCCAUAUAUGUCCCUCUUAAAGCUAUGUGCUUGAUUGAGGAGCACAACCUUCCCUGAUAGAGCAGGACAAGGGUAUAAAAGUAGCUGUGCUCCCCUACUACAACCUCCAAACAAAAGCUCUCAAAGUUGGCGAAAAUGUACCGUACUAUGCCAUUUCCUUCUAGAUUUUUGCAGACUGUAAAAGAAAUAUUU
rnacentral:snRNA from 1 species